rnacentral:rRNA from 1 species
AGAUUUAACCUGCCCACUGAAUAUUUAAAUGGCCGCGGUAUUUUGACCGUGCAAAGGUAGCAUAAUAAUUAGUUUUUUGAUUGAGAGCUGGAAUGAAUGGUUGGACGAGAAAAUUACUGUCUCUGGUUGAAUAUUAGAGUAAAAUUUUAUUUUUUAGUGAAAAAGCUUAAAUUUUUUUAAAAGACGAGAAGACCCUAUAGAGUUUAAUAGAAUUGAUAAUUUUUAAUUUGAGGAAUAAAAAUUUAAGAGGUUUUGGUUUUAUUUUGUUGGGGUGACAGGAAGAUUAAUUUAACUCUUUUGUAUUUUUACAUUGAUUAGUGAGUUUUUGAUCCAUUUUUUUGAUUAUAAGAUUAAAUUACCUUAGGGAUAACAGCGUAAUCCUUUUAAAGAGUUCAUAUCGAAAUUAGGGAUUGCGACCUCGAUGUUGGAUUAAAAUAAAUUUUUGGUGUAGAAGCUGAAAGUUUAAGUCUGUUCGACUUUUAAAAUUUUACAUGAUCUGAGUUUAGACCGGCGUGAGCCAGGUUGGUUUCUAUCUUUAUUUAUAUAAAAUAUUUUAGUACGAAAGGACCAA